rnacentral:tRNA from 1 species
GCCUCCGUAGCUCAGAUGGUCAGAGCUGCCGUCUCUUAAACGGAAGGCCGCUGGUUCGAAUCCAGCCGGGGGCAC